AGCAGCAUGGCGCAGUUGGAAGCGCGCGGGGCCCAUAUUACAUGUGUUACCCCGAGGUCACUUGAUCGAAACAAGUUGCUGCUA